AAGCUAUGAUUUCGAGACUUCUGCAAGUAAUCCUUGAAUCUCUCCCAAGCUUCAUAUAGUUUCUCCCCCGAAAGCUGCUUGAAAUCAUAGAUUUAUCACUAAUUUC